GGUCACGAGCUCCGACGCGAAGCCCCGGCUGGUCGGACGGCAACCCUCCCGCGCGGCGGGGUGCCCCGGGUGAGGACCAGGCGCACGGCGCACGCCGCGCGCAACGACCGCGA
rnacentral:ncRNA from 2 species